rnacentral:siRNA from 1 species
AGGCUGCAAAAGAGCGGGAGAACG